rnacentral:rRNA from 1 species
AGACCCGAAACCCGGUGAUCUAGCCAUGGGCAGGUUGAAGGUUGGGUAACACUAACUGGAGGACCGAACCGACUAAUGUUGAAAAAUUAGCGGAUGACCUGUGGCUGGGGGUGAAAGGCCAAUCAAACCGGGAGAUAGCUGGUUCUCCCCGAAAGCUAUUUAGGUAGCGCCUCGUGAAUUCAUCUCCGGGGGUAGAGCACUGUUUCGGCUAGGGGGCCAUCCCGGCUUACCAACCCGAUGCAAACUGCGAAUACCGGAGAAUGUUAUCACGGGAGACACACGGCGGGUGCUAACGUCCGUCGUGAAGAGGGAAACAACCCAGACCGCCAGCUAAGGUCCCAAAGUCAUGGUUAAGUGGGAAACGAUGUGGGAAGGCCCAGACAGCCAGGAUGUUGGCUUAGAAGCAGCCAUCAUUUAAAGAAAGCGUAAUAGCUCACUGGUCGAGUCGGCCUGCGCGGAAGAUGUAACGGGGCUAAACCAUGCACCGAAGCUGCGGCAGCGAACGUAUCACCCAAGACAACUUUACGGAGUUGACGAUUGACGGAGCGAAGCGACGUCAAAGCGUUCAUUAAAGUCGAGUUGGCUUAGGGAUACGUUCGUUGGGUAGGGGAGCGUUCUGUAAGCCUGUGAAGGUGUGUCGUGAGGCAUGCUGGAGGUAUCAGAAGUGCGAAUGCUGACAUAAGUAACGAUAAAGCGGGUGAAAAGCCCGCUCGCCGGAAGACCAAGGGUUCCUGUCCAACGUUAAUCGGGGCAGGGUGAGUCGACCCCUAAGGCGAGGCCGAAAGGCGUAGUCGAUGGGAAACGGGUUAAUAUUCCCGUACUUGGUGUUACUGCGAAGGGGGGACGGAGAAGGCUAUGUUGGCCGGGCGACGGUUGUCCCGGUUUAAGCGUGUAGGUGUGUGUUCCAGGUAAAUCCGGUUCACUUUAACACUGAGGCGUGAUGACGAGGCACUACGGUGCUGAAGCAACAAAUGCCCUGCUUCCAGGAAAAGCCUCUAAGCAUCAGGUAACAUCAAAUCGUACCCCAAACCGACACAGGUGGUCAGGUAGAGAAUACCAAGGCGCUUGAGAGAACUCGGGUGAAGGAACUAGGCAAAAUGGUGCCGUAACUUCGGGAGAAGGCACGCUGACACGUAGGUGAAGUGAUUUACUCACGGAGCUGAAGUCAGUCGAAGAUACCAGCUGGCUGCAACUGUUUAUUAAAAACACAGCACUGUGCAAACACGAAAGUGGACGUAUACGGUGUGACGCCUGCCCGGUGCCGGAAGGUUAAUUGAUGGGGUCAGCGCAAGCGAAGCUCCU